UACGUAGGGGGCUAGCGUUGUCCGGAAUCAUUGGGCGUAAAGCGCGUGUAGGCGGUUCGGUAAGUCCGCUGUGAAAGUCGGGGGCUCAACCCUCGAAUGCCGGUGGAUACUGUCGGACUAGAGUACGGAAGAGGCGAGUGGAAUUCCUGGUGUAGCGGUGAAAUGCGCAGAUAUCAGGAGGAACACCGGUGGCGAAGGCGGAUCUCUGGGCCAAUUACUGACGCUGAGGAGCGAAAGCGUGGGGAGCGAACAGG
rnacentral:rRNA from 1 species